rnacentral:rRNA from 1 species
AUUGAACGCUGGCGGCAUGCUUUACACAUGCAAGUCGGACGGCAGCACAGAGAAGCUUGCUUCUUGGGUGGCGAGUGGCGAACGGGUGAGUAACAUAUCGGAACGUACCGAGCAGUGGGGGAUAACUAAUCGAAAGAUUAGCUAAUACCGCAUAUUUUCUGAGGAAGAAAGCAGGGGACCAUUUGGCCUUGCGCUGUUUGAGCGGCCGAUAUCUGAUUAGCUAGUUGGUGGGGUAAAGGCCUACCAAGGCGACGAUCAGUAGCGGGUCUGAGAGGAUGAUCCGCCACACUGGGACUGAGACACGGCCCAGACUCCUACGGGAGGCAGCAGUGGGGAAUUUUGGACAAUGGGCGCAAGCCUGAUCCAGCCAUGCCGCGUGUCUGAAGAAGGCCUUCGGGUUGUAAAGGACUUUUGUCAGGGAAGAAAAGGGCGGGGUUAAUACCCCUGUCUGAUGACGGUACCUGAAGAAUAAGCACCGGCUAACUACGUGCCAGCAGCCGCGGUAAUACGUAGGGUGCGAGCGUUAAUCGGAAUUACUGGGCGUAAAGCGGGCGCAGACGGUUACUUAAGCAGGAUGUGAAAUCCCCGGGCUCAACCUGGGAACUGCGUCCUGAACUGGGUGACUAGAGUGUGUCAGAGGGAGGUAGAAUUCCACGUGUAGCAGUGAAAUGCGUAGAGAUGUGGAGGAAUACCGAUGGCGAAGGCAGCCUCCUGGGAUAACACUGACGUUCAUGCCCGAAAGCGUGGGUAGCAAACAGG